UACGAAGGGGGCUAGCGUUGCUCGGAAUCACUGGGCGUAAAGGGUGCGUAGGCGGGUCUUUAAGUCAGGGGUGAAAUCCUGGAGCUCAACUCCAGAACUGCCUUUGAUACUGAAGAUCUUGAGUUCGGGAGAGGUGAGUGGAACUGCGAGUGUAGAGGUGAAAUUCGUAGAUAUUCGCAAGAACACCAGUGGCGAAGGCGGCUCGCUGGGACGUUACUGACGCUGAGACGCGAAAGCGUGGGGAGCAAACAGG
rnacentral:rRNA from 1 species